AUCUCCCUCUCCCACGCUCAUUGCGGCAGGGGCCUUCCUUCCCUGUCUUCUCUGCCUCCUCCUCUUGCAAUGGCUCUCCUCCAGGACAUGGUUCUCUCCUCCAUUUCAUGCAUUGGCCUCUUUGCCCUUCUACCCCUUGAGGCAGACAGGAUGGAGCCAGGCAAAGUCUCUCUAUAUAUAGUUAUAUGUCAAUAUAGUUUCCCCCCCCUUCUAUUCAGAAGCUGCAAAAACAUUUUGCUUCUUUUCUCCUGGGUUUUUCUUUUUAGUUCAACUCUUUUAAAGGAAGACAAAGGAGCAUACAACUCUUCAUCGAUAGUGGGUUCUCCGAAUGCCGAGAAGCACGGAGGGAUUUUGAUGACUUAUUGACUUCCCCCUGUAUGUACCCUUUAAUGAUGUACCCAUCCUAUUAACUAAUGAUCAUGAUGAUGUAUGUUUUUCUUCAUUUUUUAAUCCACUCAUUUCUUUCAAGUUUCCGAUUUUCUGUU